AGUGAACGCUGGCGGUAGGCCUAACACAUGCAAGUCGAACGGCAGCACAGUAAGAGCUUGCUCUUACGGGUGGCGAGUGGCGGACGGGUGAGGAAUACAUCGGAAUCUACUUUUUCGUGGGGGAUAACGUAGGGAAACUUACGCUAAUACCGCAUACGACCUACGGGUGAAAGCAGGGGAUCUUCGGACCUUGCGCGAUUGAAUGAGCCGAUGUCGGAUUAGCUAGUUGGCGGGGUAAAGGCCCACCAAGGCGACGAUCCGUAGCCGGUAUGAGAGGAUGAUCAGACACACUGGAACAGAGACACGGUCCAGACUCCUACAGGAGGAAGCAGUGGGGAAUAUUGGACAAUGGGCGAAAGCCUGAUCCAGCCAUACCGCGUGGGUGAAGAAGGACUUCGGGUUGUAAAGCCCUUUUGUUGGGAAAGAAAAGCAGCAGGUUAAUACCCCGCUGUUCUGACGGUACCCAAAGAAUAAGCACCGGCUAACUUCGUG
rnacentral:rRNA from 1 species